UACGGAAGGGGCAAGCGUUGUUCGGAAUCAUUGGGCGUAAAGGGCGCGUAGGUGGUUCUGUAUGUCUACCGUGAAAGCGUACGGCUCAACCGUAUUUUGUCGGUGGAAACUGCAGGACUUGAGGCUGGGAGGGGCUGGUGGAAUUCCCUGUGUAGCGGUGAAAUGCGUAGAUAUACGGAGGAACACCAGCGGCGAAGGCGGGUAGCUGGGCCAACACUGACGCUGAUGCGCGAAAGCUAGGGGAGCAAACGGG
rnacentral:rRNA from 1 species